AAGUGGCUCAGUUGGGUCAGAACCGAGUUCCCCUGACAUCCCAGACAACAUGAAUACAUAAUAAUACAGAAUUUAAUGUGGACCAAAGGUGUUCAAUGUUAAAAGACUUGAAAUAAUCAGAUGAAUACAUGCAGAUAGAAACCUCUCGUUGUCGUGCUGCCGGCUGACGUGCAGCUUGUUUCCUGCUCCUGUUGACCAUCCGGAGACAGAGUCUGUGAAGAAGCCUCGCAGCUCCAUCCUUCCUCUUCGCUCUCCUGCUGUUUGGCCUCCUGACCUUCAGUCUGACGGCCUGUAGAUGGCGCCGCUCCUCCACCUCGGCGCCGCUCCUCUGCUCCACCUGAGGAAGCUCUGUUUUCACCACCACCGCUGUACAGCUGUUCGACAGAGAAGAAGAAGAGGAAGCGGUUCAGAGACGCGAUGAUGACUCAGUGGAUUCUCUCAAACACAAUUUUUAUACACAUGUACUUGAUUAUUUGCAUUUUAUUCCUAUUUUAUACUAAAUAAUGUACUUUUCCCUCCAAAACAUGAAUCUGACAGACAGAUUUGACAUCAAACAUUUUAUUUUAAAUAAAUAAAAAGAUUAAAUUAG